CAGGCGGCUGCUUACCAUGCAGUCGUACGAGAAAGCCGAGAGCUUGCUUUUGGCGAGUAAAGUGGCGCACGGGUGAGUAACGCGUGGGUAAUCUACCUCCGGAUUCGGGAUAACUCCGCGAAAGCGGUGCUAAUACCGGAUGAAAUCCAUUUAUUUUCGGGUGAAUGGAUGAAAGAUGGCCGAUCCAUGGAAGCUGUUGUUUGGAGAUGAGCCCGCGUACCAUUAGCUUGUUGGUGAGGUAACGGCCCACCAAGGCGACGAUGGUUAGCUGGUCUGAGAGGAUGAUCAGCCACACUGGAACUGGAACACGGUCCAGACUCCUACGGGAGGCAGCAGUGAGGAAUUUUGCGCAAUGGGGGAAACCCUGACGCAGCAACGCCGCGUGAGUGAUGAAGGCUUUCGGGUCGUAAAGCUCUGUCGAGUGGGAAGAAACUGGUGACAGUCAACAGCUGUUGUCAUUGACGGUACCACAGAAGGAAGCACCGGCUAACUCCGUGCCAGCAGCCGCGGUAAUACGGAGGGUGCAAGCGUUAUUCGGAUUUACUGGGCGUAAAGGGCGCGUAGGCGGUCUGUUAAGUCAGAUGUGAAAGCCCGGGGCUUAACCCCGGAAGUGCAUUUGAUACUGGCGGGCUUGAGUAUGGUAGAGGGAAGUGGAAUUCCUGGUGUAGCGGUGAAAUGCGUAGAUAUCAGGAGGAACACCGGUGGCGAAAGGCGGCUUCCUGGACCAAUACUGACGCUGAGGCGCGAAGGUGUGGGGAGCAAACAGGAUUAGAUACCCUGGUAGUCCACACAGUAAACGUGAUCACUAGUUGUUGCGGGU
rnacentral:rRNA from 2 species